rnacentral:rRNA from 1 species
UACCAGCACCCCGAGUGGUCGGGACGAUUAUUGGGCCUAAAGCAUCCGUAGCCGGUUUUACAAGUCCUCCGUUAAAUCCAGCUGCUUAACAGAUGGGCUGCGGAGGAUACUAUAAGACUAGGGGGCAGGAGAGGCAAGCGGUACUCAGUGGGUAGGGGUAAAAUCCGUUGAUCCAUUGAAGACCACCAGUGGCGAAGGCGGCUUGCCAGAAUGCGCUCGACGGUGAGGGAUGAAAGCUGGGGGAGCAAACCGG